GAUGAAGAACGCAGCGAAAUGCGAUAAGUAGUGUGAAUUGCAGAAUUCAGUGAAUCAUCGAAUCUUUGAACGCACAUUGCGCCCCUUGGUAUUCCAUGGGGCAUGCCUGUUCGAGCGUCAUUUGUACCUUCAAGCUUUGCUUGGUGUUGGGUGUUUGUCCAUUCUCUUGCAGAGGGACUCGCCUUAAAGUAAUUGGCAGCCAGUGUUUUGGUUUUGAAGCGCAGCACAAGUCGCGAUUCAAAGCUAUACGCCCGCUUCCACAAGCCUUUUUCACUUUUGACCUCGGAUCAGGUAGGAAUACCCGCUGAACUUAAGCAUAUCAAUAAGCGGAGGA
rnacentral:misc_RNA from 1 species